rnacentral:rRNA from 1 species
AGUGAACGCUGGCGGUAGGCCUAACACAUGCAAGUCGAACGGCAGCACAGUAAGAGCUUGCUCUUACGGGUGGCGAGUGGCGGACGGGUGAGGAAUACAUCGGAAUCUACUUUUUCGUGGGGGAUAACGUAGGGAAACUUACGCUAAUACCGCAUACGACCUACGGGUGAAAGCAGGGGAUCUUCGGACCUUGCGCGAUUGAAUGAGCCGAUGUCGGAUUAGCUAGUUGGCGGGGUAAAGGCCCACCAAGGCGUCGAUCCGUAGCUGGUCUGAGAGGAUGAUCAGCCACACUGGAACUGAGACACGGUCCAGACUCCUACGGGAGGCAGCAGUGGGGAAUAUUGGACAAUGGGCGCAAGCCUGAUCCAGCCAUACCGCGUGGGUGAAGAAGGCCUUCGGGUUGUAGAGCCCUUUUGUUGGGAAAGAAAAGCAGCAGGUUAAUACCCCGCUGUUCUGACGGUACCCAAAGAAUAAGCACCGGCUAACUUCGUG